rnacentral:rRNA from 1 species
GGCGGCUCGAGUGGUGGCCACUAUUACUGGGCUUAAAGCGUUCGUAGCUGGUUUGUUAAGUCUCUGGGGAAAUCUUCCGGCUUAACCGGAAGGCGUCUCAGGGAUACUGGCAGACUAGGGACCGGGAGAGGUGAGAGGUACUCCAGGGGUAGGAGUGAAAUCCUGUAAUCCUUGGGGGACCACCUGUGGCGAAGGCGUCUCACCAGAACGGCUCCGACAGUGAGGGACGAAAGCUGGGGGAGCAAACC